UACGUAGGUCCCGAACGUUGCGCGAAUUUACUGGGCGUAAAGGGUCCGCAGGCGGUUUAGCAAGUGGUUGGGGAAAUUUCACGGCUCAACCGUGAAACUGCCUUCCAAACUGCUAAACUUGAGGCAGGGAGAGGUCGGCGGAAUUCCCGGUGUAGCGGUGAAGUGCGUAUAUAUCAGGAGGAACACCAGUGGCGAAGGCGGCCGACUGGAACUGUCCUGGCGCUGAGGGACGCAAGCUAGGGGAGCAGGCCGG
rnacentral:rRNA from 1 species